CUACGCCCACCUACUCUCAACUCACCUCUGUUUAUAUUAUCAAACGGCCUUCCUAUGACUGCACUAUGGUUCAGGGAACAUCUAGCCUUUGUCAUUUCAAAAUGUGGACUGUCCCCAACUCACUACAUUCUUUUAGAAUAGGAGCAGCUACAACUGCAGCUAAACUUGGUCUACCCAUCAAUUCAAUCAAGCUGCUUGGGAGAUGGUCCUCAUCUGCCUAUGAAUCCUACAUAAGGCCAGAUGCACAACUCAUCAUGGAUGCUCAGUUGGCUCUCUCAAAAUCUAUCAAGACUAGUCAAUCCAGGUAAAGCCUUUCCCGGUGGGUAUCCAUUAUCUCUUACAAUCUUUUGGGGUAUGCUUCGCCCCCUGCUGUCCCUGUAUGGCAGGAUCUGCGAAGCUCUACACAUUGAAGUACCUGGGCUGAUUAUGGGCCCGUGCCAAGGACUUUAACUUACAAAAUUUUGUUCUCUUUGGAAUUGUUAAAUACUAUUAGAUUAAACUAUUUUCCUUCCUUCACAUUUGUCUCUGGAGUCUUUCUGGUAGAAACGAAAGCUUUAGCACAAGUUCUGCCAGGGAGACUCCAAUGCUAUGUCACUCAUUACUCAUGUGACCAAUCACAAGCUUCCACCUGUCUUUAAAAUGACUUGACUUACACUCCUGCUUUGCUGCUUUCAGAUGCUGACGUUUUGUUGUUCCCCUCCUUCCUCCCUGUCGCAACCAGUUGGUCCCCCCUCGGCUGCCCAGGGGGUAUGCUCCGCCCCCUGCUGUCCCUGUACGGCAGGAUCUGCGAAGCUCUACACGUCGAAAUACCUGAGCUGAUGACGGGGCCUGCGCCAAGGACUUUAACUUACAAAAUUUUGUUAUCUUUGGAAUUGUUAAAUACUAUUAGAUUAAACUAUUUUCCUUCCUUCA